rnacentral:tRNA from 1 species
GCUUUUAUAGUUUAAUUAAAACGUUGGUCUUGUAAACCAUUAAUGAAUAAAGAUUCUAAAAGCA